CCCUAGCCCCGAUUGCAGUGAAAAUACCGCAAGAGCUGGCGUAGCCGCGAUGAGGAAUUGUAACGUAAAGCGGGAAAUAGC
rfam:Dokdonia sp. 4H-3-7-5 chromosome, complete genome.